GAUGAACGCUGGCGGCGUGCCUAAUACAUGCAAGUCGAGCGAACGGACGAGAAGCUUGCUUUUCUGAUGUUAGCGGCGGACGGGUGAGUAACACGUGGAUAACCUACCUAUAAGACUGGGAUAACUUCGGGAAACCGGAGCUAAUACCGGAUAAUAUUUUGAACCGCAUGGUUCAAAAGUGAAAGACGGUCUUGCUGUCACUUAUAGAUGGAUCCGCGCUGCAUUAGCUAGUUGGUAAGGUCACGGCUUACCAAGGCAACGAUGCAUAGCCGACCUGAGAGGGUGAUCGGCCACACUGGAACUGAGACACGGUCCAGACUCCUACGGGAGGCAGCAGUAGGGAAUCUUCCGCAAUGGGCGAAAGCCUGACGGAGCAACGCCGCGUGAGUGAUGAAGAUCUUCGGAUCGUAAAACUCUGUUAUUAGGGAAGAACAUAUGUGUAAGUAACUGUGCACAUCUUGACGGUACCUAAUCAGAAAGCCACGGCUAACUACGUG
rnacentral:rRNA from 1 species